rnacentral:rRNA from 1 species
UCGAAAGGGAUGCUAAUACCGCAUACGUCCUACGGGAGAAAGCAGGGGAUCUUUAUGACCUUGCGCUAAUAGAUGAGCCUAAGUCGGAUUAGCUAGUUGGUGGGGUAAAGGCCUACCAAGGCGACGAUCUGUAGCGGGUCUGAAAGGAUGAUCCGCCACACUGGGACUGAGACACGGCCCAGACUCCUACGGGAGGCAGCAGUGGGGAAUAUUGGACAAUGGGGGGAACCCUGAUCCAGCCAUGCCGCGUGUGUGAAGAAGGCCUUAUGGUUGUAAAGCACUUUAAGCGAGGAGGAGGCUCUUUUGGUUAAUACCCAAGAUGAGUGGACGUUACUCGCAGAAUAAGCACCGGCUAACUCUGUGCCAGCAGCCGCGGUA